AGUGAACGCUGGCGGUAGGCCUAACACAUGCAAGUCGAACGGCAGCACAGUAAGAGCUUGCUCUUACGGGUGGCGAGUGGCGGACGGGUGAGGAAUACAUCGGAAUCUACUUUUUCGUGGGGGAUAACGUAGGGAAACUUACGCUAAUACCGCAUACGACCUACGGGUGAAAGCAGGGGAUCUUCGGACCUUGCGCGAUUGAAUGAGCCGAUGUCGGAUUAGCUAGUUGGCGGGGUAAAGGCCCACCAAGGCGACGAUCCGUAGCUGGUCUGAGAGGAUGAUCAGCCACACUGGAGCGGAGACACGGUCCAGACUCCUACGGGAGGCAGCAGUGGGGAAUAUUGGACAAUGGGCGCAAGCAUGAUCCAGCCAUACCGCGUGGGUGAAGAAGGCCUUCGGGUUGUAAAGCCCUUUUGUUGGGAAAGAAAAGCAGCAGGUUAAUACCCCGCUGUUCUGACGGUACCCAAAGAAUAAGCACCGGCUAACUUCGUG
rnacentral:rRNA from 1 species